UACGUAGGGCGCAAGCGUUGUCCGGAAUUAUUGGGCGUAAAGAGCUCGUAGGCGGCUUGUCACGUCGGGUGUGAAAGCCCGGGGCUUAACCCCGGGUCUGCAUUCGAUACGGGCUGGCUGGAGUUCGGUAGGGGAGAUCGGAAUUCCUGGUGUAGCGGUGAAAUGACGCAGAUAUCAGGAGGAACACCGGUGGCGAAGGCGGAUCUCUGGGCCGAUACUGACGUGAGGAGCGAAAGCGUGGGGAGCGAACAGG
rnacentral:rRNA from 1 species